UACGUAGGGUGCAAGCGUUAAUCGGAAUUACUGGGCGUAAAGCGUGCGCAGGCGGUUGUGCAAGACAGAUGUGAAAUCCCCGGGCUCAACCUGGGAAUUGCAUUUGUGACUGCACGGCUAGAGUGUGUCAGAGGGGGGUAGAAUUCCACGUGUAGCAGUGAAAUGCGUAGAGAUGUGGAGGAAUACCGAUGGCGAAGGCAGCCCCCUGGGCUGACACUGACGCUCAGGCACGAAAGCGUGGGGAGCAAACAGG
rnacentral:rRNA from 1 species